AUUGAACGCUGGCGGCAGGCCUAACACAUGCAAGUCGAGCGGACGUAGGGAGCUUGCUCCUGGAUUCAGCGGCAGACGGGUGAGUCAUGCCUAGGAAUCUGCCUUGUAGCGGGGGAUAACGUCCGGAAACGGGCGCUACUCCCGCAUACGUCCUGAGGGCGAAAGUGGGGGGUCUUCGGACCUCACGCUAUCAGAUGAGCCUGGGUCGGAUUCGCUAGUGGGUGGGGUAAAGGCCUAGCAAGGCGACGAUCCGUAACUGGUAUGAGAGGAAGAUCAGGCACAUUGUCACAGAGACAGGUCCCAGACUCUGGCGGGGGGAAGCAGUGGGAAAUAUUAGGCGAGGGAGCAGUGCCUGAUCCAGCCAAGCCGCGUGUGUGCUGAAGGUCUCAUGAUUGGAGAACGCUGUAAGUUGGGGGAUAGGAAAAUUAUUUAAUACCUGACUGUUUUGACGUUACCAACAGAAGAAGCACCGGCUAACUUCGUG
rnacentral:rRNA from 1 species